rnacentral:rRNA from 1 species
AGGGGGGCAACCCCUGAGUAGAGUGGCGAACGGGUGAGNAUACAUCGGAACGUACCCAGUAGCGGGGGAUAACCUCUCGAAAGAGAGGCUAAUACCGCAUACGACCUACGGGUGAAAGAGGGGGAUCGCAAGACCUCUCACUAUUGGAGCGGCCGAUGUCGGAUUAGCUAGUUGGUGGGGUAAAAGCCUACCAAGGCGACGAUCCGUAGCUGGUCUGAGAGGACGGCCAGCCACACUGGAACUGAGACACGGUCCAGACUCCUACGGGAGGCAGCAGUGGGGAAUUUUGGACAAUGGGCGAAAGCCUGAUCCAGCCAUGCCGCGUGAGUGAAGAAGGCCUUCGGGUUGUAAAGCUCUUUCGGCUGGGACGAAAAGGUCCGUGCUAACACCACGGAUCCAUGACGGUACCAGCAGAAGAAGCACCGGCUAACUACGUGCCAGCAGCCGCGGUAAUACGUAGGGUGCAGGCGUUAAUCGGAAUUACUGGGCGUAAAGCGUGCGCAGGCGGUUUGCUAAGACAGGUGUGAAAUCCCCGGGCUUAACCUGGGAACUGCGCUUGUAACUGGCAAGCUGGAGUGUGGCAGAGGGGGGUGGAAUUCCACGUGUAGCAGUGAAAUGCGUAGAGAUGUGGAGGAACACCGAUGGCGAAGGCAGCCCCCUGGGCUAACACUGACGCUCAUGCACGAAAGCGUGGGGAGCAAACAGGAUUAGAUACCCUGGUAGUCCACGCCCUAAACUAUGUCAACUGGUUGUCGGGGAAGCAAUUCCUUGGUAACGAAGCUAACGCGUGAAGUUGACCGCCUGGGGAGUACGGCCGCAAGGUUAAAACUCAAAGGAAUUGACGGGGACCCGCACAAGCGGUGGAUUAUGUGGAUUAAUUCGAUGCACGCGAAAACC